UACGGGGGGGGGCAAGCGUUGUUCGGAAUUACUGGGCGUAAAGCGCGCGUAGGCGGCUUUGUAAGUUAGAGGUGAAAGCCCGGAGCUCAACUCCGGAAUUGCCUUUAAGACUGCAUCGCUAGAAUCAUGGAGAGGUGAGUGGAAUUCCGAGUGUAGAGGUGAAAUUCGUAGAUAUUCGGAAGAACACCAGUGGCGAAGGCGACUCACUGGGACGUUACUGACGCUGAGACGCGAAAGCGUGGGGAGCAAACAGG
rnacentral:rRNA from 1 species